GACGAACGCUGGCGGCGUGCUUAACACAUGCAAGUCACGGGGGUCCCGCAAGGGAUAACCGGCGAACGGGUGCGUAACACGUGAGCGACCUGCCUCUUCGCGGGGGAUAGCCGGCCCAACGGCCGGGUAAUACCGCAUACGUUCAGUUUGGGGCAUCCCGAACUGAGGAAACCUCCGGGGCGGAGAGAGGGGCUCGCGGCCUAUCAGCUAGUUGGCGGGGUAAUGGCCCACCAAGGCAGCGACGGGAGCUGGUCUGAGAGGAUGGCCAGCCACAUUGGGACUGAGAAACGGCCCAGACUCCUACGGGAGGCAGCAGUGGGGAAUCUUGCGCAAUGGCCUAACGGCUGACGCAGCGACGCCGCGUGUGGGA
rnacentral:rRNA from 1 species